rnacentral:lncRNA from 1 species
CGGCACGGCACCAUCUUGGGAGGGGGGGGAGGAAGGGGCGGGCCGCGGGCGGUGCCGGCGGAGCUGCGGGCCCUGCGCGGCGCUCAGGUACCUCCGCGGGCAGGGGGCGGCCGGCGGCGCGUCCCGGUGGUCGUGCGCGGGGGAGGGGAGGGGAGGCGAGGCGAGGCGAGGCGGCCGGCGGUCCCGCCGCCUGUCAGACCCCACCGGCCGUCGUGGCGAGAGGCCUCCCUGCCCGGCUCCGCGGCGCUGAGGGGGCGAGGCCCGGGCCGCCUCGCUCCGCCGCCUGCCCCGGGGGCGGCUUUCCUCUUCCCGUCGUGCGCGGGCGGAGGGGCCGCGUGUGUGGGAGCCGGGCCGGAGGUCCCUUCCUGCCUCCUUCUGUCCGGUUGUCCCGUCUGGCUCUCACCCCUCGCUCCGUGCGCGACCGCAGGGACGGACCCCGCGCUUCCCCCUUCGGUCCCUGCGUUGCUCUCAGCCUUCCGCUGCGUUCUGACCGCGUUCAUGGAAUUCGCUCGCUUCCCCUUCCUCUAUUCGUGCGGCUUUCAGCCGGAGAUAACUGGGCAGGAAGGGAAGAGCCCGUUCAGACUCGUGUUUGUGAGAGCGGUGGUUUCGCGGCGUGCCCGCAGGGCUCGGCCUUCGGAGGGCCGAGGGGUGACGUGCAGCUCUGAGGCCGCUGUGCUGGCUGCUCUCAGAGGGAAGGAAGAACCAGGCAACAUCUACCUGCCCGCUUUCAACCUGAAGCUGCCGUGUAUGAUUGAUGAAGCGAUAGAUGUCCAUGCCCAGCAGCACAUAGUCAUGUUGGGAUGCUAA